rnacentral:rRNA from 1 species
AGCCCGCUCGCCGGAAGACCAAGGGUUCCUGUCCAACGUUAAUCGGGGCAGGGUGAGUCGACCCCUAAGGCGAGGCCGAAAGGCGUAGUCGAUGGGAAACAGGUUAAUAUUCCUGUACUUGGUGUUACUGCGAAGGGGGGACGGAGAAGGCUAUGUUGGCCGGGCGACGGUUGUCCCGGUUUAAGCGUGUAGGCUGGUUUUCCAGGCAAAUCCGGAAAAUCAAGGCUGAGGCGUGAUGACGAGGCACUACGGUGCUGAAGCGACAAAUGCCCUGCUUCCAGGAAAAGCCUCUAAGCAUCAGGUAACAUCAAAUCGUACCCCAAACCGACACAGGUGGUCAGGUAGAGAAUACCAAGGCGCUUGAGAGAACUCGGGUGAAGGAACUAGGCAAAAUGGUGCCGUAACUUCGGGAGAAGGCACGCUGAUAUGUAGGUGAAGCGACUUGCUCGUGGAGCUGAAAUCAGUCGAAGAUACCAGCUGGCUGCAACUGUUUAUUAAAAACACAGCACUGUGCAAACACGAAAGUGGACGUAUACGGUGUGACGCCUGCCCGGUGCCGGAAGGUUAAUUGAUGGGGUUAGCGGUAACGCGAAGCUCUUGAUCGAAGCCCCGGUAAACGGCGGCCGUAACUAUAACGGUCCUAAGGUAGCGAAAUUCCUUGUCGGGUAAGUUCCGACCUGCACGAAUGGCGUAAUGAUGGCCAGGCUGUCUCCACCCGAGACUCAGUGAAAUUGAACUCGCUGUGAAGAUGCAGUGUACCCGCGGCAAGACGGAAAGACCCCGUGAACCUUUACUAUAGCUUGACACUGAACAUUGAGCCUUGAUGUGUAGGAUAGGUGGGAGGCUUUGAAGUGUGGACGCCAGUCUGCAUGGAGCCGACCUUGAAAUACCACCCUUUAAUGUUUGAUGUUCUAACGUGGGCCCCUUACCGGGGUUGCGGACAGUGUCUGGUGGGUAGUUUGACUGGGGCGGUCUCCUCCUAAAGAGUAACGGAGGAGCACGAAGGUUGGCUAAUCCUGGUCGGACAUCAGGAGGUUAGUGCAAUGGCAUAAGCCAGCUUGACUGCGAGCGUGACGGCGCGAGCAGGUGCGAAAGCAGGUCAUAGUGAUCCGGUGGUUCUGAAUGGAAGGGCCAUCGCUCAACGGAUAAAAGGUACUCCGGGGAUAACAGGCUGAUACCGCCCAAGAGUUCAUAUCGACGGCGGUGUUUGGCACCUCGAUGUCGGCUCAUCACAUCCUGGGGCUGAAGUAGGUCCCAAGGGUAUGGCUGUUCGCCAUUUAAAGUGGUACGCGAGCUGGGUUUAGAACGUCGUGAGACAGUUCGGUCCCUAUCUGCCGUGGGCGCUGGAGAACUGAGGGGGGCUGCUCCUAGUACGAGAGGACCGGAGUGGACGCAUCACUGGUGUUCGGGUUGUCAUGCCAAUGGCACUGCCCGGUAGCUAAAUGCGGAAGAGAUAAGUGCUGAAAGCAUCUAAGCACGAAACUUGCCCCGAGAUGAGUUCUCCCUGAGACUUAGAGUCUCCUGAAGGAACGUUGAAGACGACGACGUUGAUAGGCCGGGUGUGUAAGCGCAGCGAUGCGUUGAGCUAACCGGUACUAAUGAACCGUGAGGCUUAACCUU